AACAUACAAUAAAUAAUCCUAAAUGAACCAGGCCUUGAUGGAUAUUGGAAGCUAAGCAGGACCGUCCCUGGUUCGUUCUGGGAUGAGAGAUCACCAACGAAUACCAGGCCCUGAAGGCUA
rnacentral:rRNA from 11 species